UGGGGAAUUUUGGACAAUGGGCGAAAGCCUGAUCCAGCAAUGCCGCGUGUGUGAAGAAGGCCUUCGGGUUGUAAAGCACUUUUGUCCGGAAAGAAAUCCUUGGCUCUAAUACAGUCGGGGGAUGACGGUACCGGAAGAAUAAGCACCGGCUAACUACGUGCCAGCAGCCGCGGUAAUACGUAGGGUGCAAGCGUUAAUCGGAAUUACUGGGCGUAAAGCGUGCGCAGGCGGUUUGCUAAGACCGAUGUGAAAUCCCCGGGCUCAACCUGGGAACUGCAUUGGUGACUGGCAGGCUGGAGUAUGGCAGAGGGGGGUAGAAUUCCACGUGUAGCAGUGAAAUGCGUAGAGAUGUGGAGGAAUACCGAUGGCGAAGGCAGCCCCCUGGGCCAAUACUGACGCUCAUGCACGAAAGCGUGGGGGAGCAAACAGGAUUAGAUACCCUGGUAGUCCACGCCCUAAACGAUGUCAACUAGUUGUUGGGGAUUCAUUUUCCUUAGUAACGUAGCUAACGCGUGAAGUUGACCGCCUGGGGGGUACGGUCGCAAGAUUAAAACUCAAAGGAAUUGACGGGGUCAUAGCU
rnacentral:rRNA from 1 species